UUCAUUGUUUUGUUUUAUUUGUGUAACAAAUAAUCAAGAUAUUGCUGUUAUGAUCCUGAAAUACAACAUGAACACCACCGAUGUUAUUAACUGAUAUUAAUUUCAUAAAAAAUACUUUCAUUUCAUAACAUUUUAAAAUAAUGGUAAAGAUAUAUACAAACAUUCAAAUAUAUACAUAAACUAUCACAUAUGAAAUGGGUUUUGCUUUUUGUUUUAAAUGAAAUCAGGGAACAAUAUUUCAAAAUCUUAGGCAACUGGUACACAUGAUUUUCAUCUAGGUAACUCAUUGAUUGGUUACACAAAUUCUAUUUGCAUAGGAAAUAAAGUUCUUAUGAUCCUGAAUGAAGUGUGUAACUUUUAACUGUAGAAUGUAAAGGUUCACCAUGUAACCAACUAGCAGUUCAUAUGAAUUUAAAAUUGCAUAACCGACAAGCGAAAUGACCAAUGUUUAGCAAUAAAAUAUUGUGCCCUGUGAUAGUAUAACAGAAAUCAGUUGAAAUCAUUAGUGGUGGAUUGUUUGUUAUACCUACAACAGUUUUACAAAAUUGCAACCAACAAAAUGCAUCUGAAAUAUUCUAAAACUUAUGUUCAAUUAAGAUCAAAGCACAGUGUUCUUGAUAUGGAUCUGAUGCAUAGGUUUACUUUAGCAUCUAUUUUAAUUAAUUAAGUCUUAAAAAGGAGACCUACUUCAGAAUACAGACUACUCCUACUGACAAAUAGCAAGGAACAGAAUAGCAGUGACAUACCGCUGAUUUUGAUAAAACAUGUUAUGGAGAAUGUUCUUGAAACAAGGUUUUUCCAUUAGUACAACCAGCCUUUAUAUACACACCAAAUGAUGGUGUGUUUAGAAAGGACUUGAUAAUUAGCACAACUAGGAGGUCUGCUAUGGAUAUAUUCACAAACUGGGAUGUGUUUAGCAAAGACUUGAUAAGUAGCACAACUAGGUCUACUAUGGAUAUAUUCACCAACUGGAUGUGUUUAGCAAAGACUUGAUAAGUAGCACAACUAGGAGGUCUGCUAUGGAUAUAUUCACCAACUGGGAUGAUGCUUAGCAAAGACUUGAUAAGUAGCACAACUAGGAGGUCUGCUAUGGAUAUAUUCACCAACUGGGAUGAUGCUUAGCAAAGACUUGAUAAGUAGCACAACUAGGAGGUCUGCUACAGAUAUAUACACCAACUGGGAUGUGCUUAGCAAAGACUUGAUAAGUAGCACAACUAGGAGGUCUGCUAUGGAUAUAUUCACCAACUGGGAUGAUGUUUAGCAAAGACUUGAUAAGUAGCACAACUAGGAGGUCUGCUACGGAUAUAUUCACCAACUGGGAUGAUGUUUAGCAAAGACUUGAUAAGUAGCACAACUAGGAGGUCUGCUAGGGAUAUAUUCACCAACUGGGAUGUGUUUAGCAAAGACUUGAUAAGUAGCACAACUAGGAGGUCUGCUAGGGAUAUAUUCACCAACUGGGAUGAUGUUUAGCAAAGACUUGAUAAGUAGCACAACUAGGAGGUCUGCUACGGAUAUAUUCACCAACUGGGAUGAUGUUUAGCAAAGACUUGAUAAGUAGCACAACUAGGAGGUCUGCUAAGGAUAUAUUCACCAACUGGGAUGAUGUUUAGCAAAGACUUGAUAAGUAGCACAACUAGGAGGUCUGCUACGGAUAUAUUCACCAACUGGGAUGAUGUUUAGCAAAGACUUGAUAAGUAGCACAACUAGGAGGUCUGCUAUGGAUAUAUUCACCAACUGGGAUGAUGUUUAGCAGACUUGAUAAGUAGCACAACUAGGAGGUCUGCUACGGAUAUAUACACCAACUGGGAUGUGUUUAGCAAAGACUUGAUAAGUAGCACAACUAGGAGGUCUGCUACGGAUAUAUUCACCAACUGGGAUGAUGUUUAGCAAAGACUUGAUAAGUAGCACAACUAGGAGGUCUGCUACGGAUAUAUUCACCAACUGGGAUGAUGUUUAGCAAAGACUUGAUAAGUAGCACAACUAGGAGGUCUGCUAUGGAUAUAUUCACCAACUGGGAUGUGUUUAGCAAAGACUUGAUAAGUAGCACAACUAGGAGGUCUGCUAUGGAUAUAUUCACCAACUGGGAUGAUGUUU